rnacentral:rRNA from 1 species
GACGAACGCUGGCGGCGUGCCUAACACAUGCAAGUCGAGCGGAGAUACAUUGAAGAGUAAUCUGAAAUGUAUCUUAGCGGCGGACGGGUGAGUAACGCGUGGGCAACCUACCUCUAACUGGGGGAUAACACUGGGAAACUAGUGCUAAUACCGCAUAAGAUAUUAGCAGGACAUCCUGCAGAUAUCAAAGGAGAAAUCCGGUGAGAGAUGGGGCCCGCGUCCAAUUAGCUAGUUGGUGAGGUAACGGCCCACCAAGGCGACGAUUGGUAGCCGAACUGAGAGGUUGAUCGGCCACAUUGGGACUGAGACACGGCCCAGACUCCUACGGGUGGCAG